rnacentral:rRNA from 1 species
AGCGAACACUGGCGGCAGGCCUAACACAUGCAAGUCGAACGAAGUCUUCGGACUUAGUGGCGGACGGGUGAGUAACACGUGGGUACGUGCCUUUAGGUUCGGAAUAACUCAGGGAAACUUGUGCUAAUACCGAAUGUGCCCUUCGGGGGAAAGAUUUAUCGCCUUUAGAGCGGCCCGCGUCUGAUUAGCUAGUUGGUGAGGUAAAGGCUCUCCAAGGCGACGAUCAGUAGCUGGUCUGAGAGGAUGAUCAGCCACAUUGGGACUGAGACACGGCCCAAACUCCUACGGGAGGCAGCAGUGGGGAAUCUUGCGCAAUGGGCGAAAGCCUGACGCAGCCAUGCCGCGUGAAUGAUGAAGGUCUUAGGAUUGUAAAAUUCUUUCACCGGGGACGAUAAUGACGGUACCCGGAGAAGAAGCCCCGGCUAACUUCGUGCCAGCCGCCGCCGUAACAC